GACGAACGCUGGCGGCGUGCUUAACACAUGCAAGUCGAACGGAAAGGCCCUGCUUUUGUGGGGUGCUCGAGUGGCGAACGGGUGAGUAACACGUGAGUAACCUGCCCUUGACUUUGGGAUAACUUCAGGAAACUGGGGCUAAUACCGGAUAGGAGCUCCUGCUGCAUGGUGGGGGUCGGAAAGUUUCGGCGGUUGGGGAUGGACUCGCGGCUUAUCAGCUUGUUGGUGGGGUAGUGGCUUACCAAGGCUUUGACGGGUAGCCGGCCUGAGAGGGUGACCGGCCACAUUGGGACUGAGGUACGGCCCAGACUCCUACGGGAGGCAGCAGUGGGGAAUAUUGCACAAUGGGCGGAAGCCUGAUGCAGCAACGCCGCGUGCGGGAUGACGGCCUUCGGGUUGUAAACCGCUUUCGCCUGUGACGAAGCGUGAGUGACGGUAAUGGGUAAAGAAGCACCGGCUAACUACGUG
rnacentral:rRNA from 1 species